rnacentral:rRNA from 1 species
AUGGGCGCCCGCGCCGGCACCCCCCUCACCCCUUCCUACACCUGCGACCCCUCCGCCGCCGCCGCAAACCCUAGCGCGGGGAGCUUUGGAGCUACCAUGGAGACCAUGGAAGUCUUAGGUGGCUUCGGAGCACCUCCGGGCGGCAUGGGCGGCAUGGGAGGCAUGAGUUUUGCGUCUCUCAUAGGAGGCAUGGGAGCACCUCCGGGCGGAAUGUCUUCCGGUGUGCCUCACACACCUUCGCAUGAAGAUGCCGUUGAAGAUCUUGCCAACACCUUCCGAGCUUCACAUGAUGAUGCGGCGCGCGACAAUGAAGAGGAGGAGGAAGAAUCGUCUUUGGAGGAGGAGGAUGAAUCGGAGGACGAUGAGAUGAAGACGAGGACGAGGCUUGAUUGUUGA